CCCGCAAGCUGUCUGGUAUGAUUUGAAAGGUAUAUAAUGGGAAGAUCUUCAACACUCAUGAACUGAUUACAGCUCGUUAUACUGAGCUGAUUAAAAUGAAGAUCGCAGUUCUUCUUCUUCUGGUGUGUCUUGCAAGUCUCUGUGUUGUAUCAGACAGUUGUUGCGGAAAGUAUCAUGCAUCUUGUAACAUUGGAUGGGACUGCUGUGUAAAAUAUUAUUGUAACCCUACUCUAAAUGAAAGGACAGGAAAAUGGAAUGGACCAAAAAGAUGUGUAGGUCCAAAACCGAGAUAAAAAAUAACGCGUAGUUUCUAUAAGCAAACGAAUAAAAGAAACUUAUAGAAAAAAUAAACAUCUGGCAUUGACAUGUUU